UGGGGAAUAUUGCACAAUGGGCGCAAGCCUGAUGCAGCCAUGCCGCGUGUAUGAAGAAGGCCUUCGGGUUGUAAAGUACUUUCAGCGGGGAGGAAGGCGAUAAGGUUAAUAACCUUGUCGAUUGACGUUACCCGCAGAAGAAGCACCGGCUAACUCCGUGCCAGCAGCCGCGGUAAUACGGAGGGUGCAAGCGUUAAUCGGAAUUACUGGGCGUAAAGCGCACGCAGUCGGUCUGUCAAGUCGGAUGUGAAAUCCCCGGGCUCAACCUGGGAACUGCAUUCGAAACUGGCAGGCUAGAGUCUUGUAGAGGGGGGUAGAAUUCCAGGUGUAGCGGUGAAAUGCGUAGAGAUCUGGAGGAAUACCGGUGGCGAAGGCGGCCCCCUGGACAAAGACUGACGCUCAGGUGCGAAAGCGUGGGGAGCAAACA
rnacentral:rRNA from 1 species